rnacentral:rRNA from 1 species
AACGAACGCUGGCGGCAUGCCUUACACAUGCAAGUCGAACGGCAGCGCGGGCAACCUGGCGGCGAGUGGCGAACGGGUGAGUAAUAUAUCGGAACAUACCCUAGAGUGGGGGAUAACGUAGCGAAAGUUACGCUAAUACCGCAUACGCACUAAGGUGGAAAGUGGGGGAUCUUCGGACCUCAUGCUCAUGGAGUGGCCGAUAUCUGAUUAGCUAGUUGGUGAGGUAAAGGCUCACCAAGGCGACGAUCAGUAGCUGGUUUGAGAGAACGACCAGCCACACUGGAACUGAGACACGGUCCAGACUCCUACGGGAGGCAGCAGUGGGGAAUUUUGGACAAUGGGGGGCAACCCUGAUCCAGCAAUGCCGCGUGAGUGAAGAAGGCCUCGGUUGUAAGACUCUUUUCGUUCAGGGAAGGAAACGGUAGGAGUUCUAAUAAAGACUUGUCUAAUGACGGUACCUGAAGAAUAA